rnacentral:rRNA from 1 species
UACGGAGGGUGCAAGCGUUAUCCGGAUUCACUGGGUUUAAAGGGAGCGUAGGUGGGUUGGUAAUCAGUGGUGAAAUCCCCGAGCUUAACUUGGGAACUGCCAUUGAUACUAUCAGUCUUGAAUACUGUGGAGGUUAGCGGAAUAUGUCAUGUAGCGGUGAAAUGCUUAGAUAUGACAUAGAACACCAAUUGCGAAGGCAGCUGGCUACACAAUUAUUGACACUGAGGCUCGAAAGCGUGGGAUCAAACAGG